GACAGUCGGAUUAGGCUCCGCCCAUUGAAGCAUCGAAUCUUCAACAACCUAAUCUGAUCAGAGAGCAUUUUUCACAUUUUGUAUAGACUACCUUUUCUUGCCCAUCUAACAUAUUGGAAUAGCAGUGGAGAUUAAGGGAACUUUUUUCCACACUUUCACACUAGUUGUCAUUCAUCCCUCUUUGACUACUCUCAAACCCUUAGUUGAUUUGGCUUCAUGUCCUUUACCUACACCUUCUAGGCUGACCCCACUGUAUGGAUAUACCGAGGCGGAGGGGCUUUUAACAGUGGAGACAGAGGUGGUGGAGCUGCAGAGAGAGAGAAAGAGAGGCAGUCCCCCUGAAAACAGCCACAUUGUUGUGGUGGCAGCCACCUCCAUCCACCGUCGCGUCAACUGGGCUCGCCUACCUACCCCCCCCCGGGCUGCCUCCACGGCGUCCUCCUGGCUCUCCCUCAUGCCUCGCCAGUCAGCCUGCCCCCACAUUCCUCCACCAACCCCCCGGUCAGGUCUCCCGUGCCUCCUCCCUUCCUCGGUCCCCGGUGCCCCUCGGCUCCCUUGUCUUAGCCCCCUCUGCCCUACUUGCUCCUCGGUCCUCCGUGCCUGUGUUCCCCGGCACCCACAUCUCCUUCACCUCCACUCCCUCAACCCCUUUUUCCCUAAUAAAACCUGUUUCGUCUGAG